rnacentral:misc_RNA from 1 species
UACAGAGGGUGCCAGCGUUGUUCGGAAUUACUGGGCGUAAAGCGCGUGCAGGCGGCAGAAGAAGUCGGGUGUGAAAGCCCUGGGCCUAACCCAGGAAUUGCGCCCGAAACCAUUUUGCUAGAGUGCGACAGGGGUGCGGGGAAUUCCCGGUGUAGAGGUGAAAUUCGUAGAGAUCGGGAGGAACACCCGUGGCGAAAGCGCCGCACUAGGUCGACACUGACGCUCAUACGCGAAAGCAUGGGUAGCAAACAGG